rnacentral:rRNA from 1 species
GUAGGGAAUCUUCCACAAUGGACGCAAGUCUGAUGGAGCAACGCCGCGUGAGUGAAGAAGGUUUUCGGAUCGUAAAGCUCUGUUGUUGGUGAAGAAGGAUAGAGGCAGUAACUGGUCUUUAUUUGACGGUAAUCAACCAGAAAGUCACGGCUAACUACGUGCCAGCAGCCGCGGUAAUACGUAGGUGGCAAGCGUUGUCCGGAUUUAUUGGGCGUAAAGCGAGCGCAGGCGGAUUGAUAAGUCUGAUGUGAAAGCCCACGGCUCAACCGUGGAACUGCAUCGGAAACUGUCAUUCUUGAGUGCAGAAGAGGAGAGUGGAACUCCAUGUGUAGCGGUGGAAUGCGUAGAUAUAUGGAGGAACACCAGUGGCGAAGGCGGCUCUCUGGUCUGCAACUGACGCUGAGGCUCGAAAGCAUGGGUAGCGAACAGGAUUAGAAACCCUUGUAGUCC